rnacentral:rRNA from 1 species
CUCGUAGGCCGCUCUGUAAGUCGGAAGUGAAAGACCACGGCUCAACCGUGGAACCGCUUUCGAAACUGCGGAGCUUGAGGCCGGGAGAGGAGAUUGGAAUUCCUGGUGUAGCGGUGAAAUGCGUAGAUAUCAGGAGGAACACCCGUGGCGAAGGCGAAUCUCUGGACCGGUUCUGACGCUGAUGAGCGAAAGCCAGGGGAGCAAACG